rfam:Salmo salar isolate Sally breed double haploid chromosome ssa23, whole genome shotgun sequence.
CCGACUUCGGCGGAAGUCGUGACGGCUGUUGAUGCACCCAACUUAUAAAAAAAAAAAAUGAUGGGAAGUUUGGCGUAUAGAAGACCGCUUUGCCCGGUGUCGAUCGGGGGCCUGAGUCCUUCUGAUCGAGGCUCAGCCCGUGGACGGUGUGAGGCUGGUAACGGCCCCCGUCAUGCCGGGGUCCGGUCUUCUCGGAGUCGGGUUGCUUGUGAAUGCAACCCAAAGCGGGUGGUAAACUUUAUCUAAGGCUAAAUAUCGGCACGAGUCCAAUAGUCAACAAGUACCGUAAGGGAAAGUUGAAAAGAUCUUUGAAGAGAGAGUUCAAGAGGGUGUGAAACCGUUGAGAGGUAAACGGGUGGGGUCCGCGCAGUCUGCCCGGAGGAUUCAACUCGGCGGGUCAGGGUCAGCCGUUCCGGUGUGGUCGGAUCCCCUCGUGGGACUGAACCCCGGUCGGGCUCGGACCCCGCCGGGCGCAUUUCCUCCGUCUGUGGUGCGCCGCGACCGGCUCUGGGUCGGCUUGGAAGGGCUUGGGGCGAAGGUGGCUACUGGUUUCGGCCGUGAGCUUUACAGCGCCCCUGCUCCAUACUCGCCGCUUUCCAGGGCCGAGGACUUAGUACCCGCUGCGUCAUGUCCCCCUGCGGGGGGGGUACGGGUCCCCCGGCGCGACUGUCAACCGGGUCUGACUGUCCUCAGUGCGCACCCGACUGCGUUGCGUCGCCAGGGAUUGGUUCACGUAAACUGGCGCCAGGGGUCAGCGGCGAUGUUGGCAACCCACCCGGCCCGUCUUGAAACACGG